rnacentral:rRNA from 1 species
AUGGCGACGGCCGUCUCGCUCUCCCUUUCCCGCGCCGUCCUCCACACCUCCGCUCCUCGGCCAACGUUCCACCGCCGCGUGUCCGUCUCAGGCGCCGGCUCCACACUCCCGGACGCGCGCCGUCUUUGUCGCCGUUCAUCGGCCGUCUCUGCCGCGGCAGGGGCUUCUCCGGCCGAAGUCGGCACCGCCGCGUGGGACGCCCUCGGCGGCGUCUCCGUCUUCGCCGCUGGCACCGGCGACGCCGUGCCGCUCAGGGACCUGUGGGACCCGUCCGAGGGGGUGGUCGUGGUCGCGCUGCUAAGGCAUUUCGGAUGCUUCUGCUGCUGGGAGCUGGCCUCUGAUCUGAAGAAAUCCAUGCCGAAAUUCGAGUCUGCGGGAGCUAAACUAAUCGCCAUCGGCGUCGGCACCUCUGACAAGGCACGCAUUCUCGCCGACGGGCUGCCAUUUCCUGUGGAUAGCUUGUACGCCGACCCCGAGCGCAAGGCUUACAAUGUCUUGGGCCUGUACCACGGAUUAGGCCGUACACUCUUCAGUCCAGCCAGUGCAAAAAUAUACUCGAGGCUCGACUCCAUCAAGGAGGCGACCAAGAACUACACGCUGAAAGGCACACCGGCAGACCUGACGGGCGUCAUGCAGCAGGGUGGGAUGUUUGUGUUCAGAGGAAAAGAACUGCUGUACGCAUGGAGAGAUGAAGGGACCGGCGAUCACGCGGAUGAUGUCCUCGGCAUCUGUCGCCAAGUUCCGGUUGCUUGA